UACGUAGGGUGCAAGCGUUAAUCGGAAUUACUGGGCGUAAAGCGUGCGCAGGCGGUUUUGUAAGUCAGAUGUGAAAUCCCCGGGCUCAACCUGGGAACUGCAUUUGUGACUGCAUGGCUGGAGUGCGGCAGAGGGGGAUGGAAUUCCGCGUGUAGCAGUGAAAUGCGUAGAUAUGCGGAGGAACACCGAUGGCGAAGGCAAU
rnacentral:rRNA from 1 species